rnacentral:rRNA from 1 species
CAUGACUGCUGGGCUCCGAAGCUAACGCGUUAAAUCGACCGCCUGGGGAGUACGGCCGCAAGGUUAAAACUCAAAUGAAUUGACGGGGGCCCGCACAAGCGGUGGAGCAUGUGGUUUAAUUCGAUGCAACGCGAAGAACCUUACCUGGUCUUGACAUCCACAGAAUUUUGUAGAGAUACGAAAGUGCCUUAGGGAGCUGUGAGACAGGUGCUGCAUGGCUGUCGUCAGCUCGUGUUGUGAAAUGUUGGGUUAAGUCCCGCAACGAGCGCAACCCUUAUCCUUUGUUGCCAUCGGUUAGGCCGGGAACUCAAAGGAGACUGCCGUUGAUAAAGCGGAGGAAGGUGGGGACGACGUCAAGUCAUCAUGGCCCUUACGACCAGGGCUACACACGUGCUACAAUGGCGCAUACAAAGAGAAGCAAACCAGCGAUGGCAAGCGGACCUCAUAAAGUGCGUCUAAGUUCGGAUUGGAGUCUGCAACUCGACUCCAUGAAGUCGGAAUCGCUAGUAAUCGUGAAUCAGAAUGUCACGGUGAAUACGUUCCCGGGCCUUGUACACACCGCCCGUCACACCAUGGGAGUGGGUUGCACCAGAAGUAGAUAGC